GACGAACGCUGGCGGCGUGCUUAACACAUGCAAGUCGAACGGAAAGGCUCCAGCUUGCUGGAGUACUCGAGUGGCGAACGGGUGAGUAACACGUGGGUAAUCUGCCCUGCACUCUGGGAUAAGCCUGGGAAACUGGGUCUAAUACUGGAUAUGACCUUUCUCCUUAUGGGGUUUGGUGGAAAGUUUUUCGGUGUAGGAUGAGCCCGCGGCCUAUCAGCUUGUUGGUGGGGUGAUGGCCUACCAAGGCGACGACGGGUAGCCGGCCUGAGAGGGUGAUCGGCCACAUUGGGACUGAGAUACGGCCCAGACUCCUACGGGAGGCAGCAGUGGGGAAUAUUGCACAAUGGGCGGAAGCCUGAUGCAGCGACGCCGCGUGAGGGAUGACGGCCUUCGGUUUGUAAACCUCUUUCAGCAGGGACGAAGCGUAAGUGACGGUACCUGCAGAAGAAGCACCGGCUAACUAUGUG
rnacentral:rRNA from 1 species